rnacentral:misc_RNA from 1 species
AAGUCGUAACAAGGUUUCCGUAGGUGAACCUGCGGAAGGAUCAUUAACGAAUGAUUUCCAAUCUACCUUAAUGUUAUCAAAUUAUUCUUCAUGAUCUUUCAUUGAUAACAUUCUAUGCUUGUCAUAGAUUUAAGAGGAGUUCCCAUUUUCGGAUGGGAAUUAAGAUCAUCCUCGAAUUAUUAUUUUUACCAUGUAAAAUAUUAUCAGAAUUGUUGGGAUUUAAAGAAAUUUAAAUCUUGUGAAAAAACAAAAAAUAACUGUUAGCAACGGAUACCUAGGCUCUU